rnacentral:rRNA from 1 species
GACGAACGCUGGCGGCGUGCUUAACACAUGCAAGUCGAACGGAAAGGCCCUGCUUUUGUGGGGUGCUCGAGUGGCGAACGUGUGAGUAACACGUGAGUAACCUGCCCUUGACUUUGUGAUAACUUCAGGAAACUGGGGCUAAUACCGGAUAGGAGCUCCUGCUGCAUGGUGGGGGUUGGAAAGUUUCGGCGGUUGGGGAUGGACUCGCGGCUUAUCAGCUUGUUGGUGGGGUAGUUGCUUACCAAGGCUUUGACGGGUAGCCGGCCUGAGAGGGUGACCGGCCACAUUGGGACUGAGAUACGGCCCAGAAUCCUACGGGAGGCAGCAGUGGGGAAUAUUGCACAAUGGGAGGAAGCCUGAUGAAGAAACGCCGCGUGCGGGAUGACGGCCUUCGGGUUGUAAACCGCUUUCGCAUGUGACGAAGCGUGAGUGACGGUAAUGGGUAAAGAAGCACCGGCUAACUACGUG